AAAAUUGCCAUCUCUCGCGAUCCCCCCACGACCCCUCCCCGAAGCCCAACCACGCGAACCCUAACUCAGAUCCUCUCCCACUCCAGCCGCCACUGCCGCCCAGAUCCAAUCCCUCCUGCCCUCCCGCCCUAGAUCCAAUCGCUCCUUUCUUGCACGCGUCGGCCACCUCCCUCCGGCGGAGCUCGCCGCCCUCCUCCUCUCACCCUCUCCAUCAACCGCACUACAGCCGCUGCGACACACACCAGAGCAGCUGAGAUCCGUGUCCCAGCACCUACGCGGAAGGUGGUCAUCCUCUCGCCCGCCUACACGAUGCCCACCUGUCUCCUCUCCUCUCGCCCACCGCACGUCCGCUGCUCCAUCAAGCAGGUCUCCGACAACCUCCACGGCAACAUCUCCCUUGAUCCGGUGAUUGAUUUGUUUUGGGCCUUCACUGCAGCGCUAGUUCCUCCGCUACCGCGCCACAUUGCUUUCCCACGACGGGACCAAACAGCAACGACAGCGCAAGUUCCCGUCCACCAGAUUAUCUGCUCCCAAAUGCGUUAGCAGUAUCUGCGCAGUUUUUCCUCUUCAGAUUUUGGGUCUGGCUCACGUUUCCCCUCCUGCCCGCCGACGCACUGCUCGCAAACAGAAAUGAAGCGUCAAUGAUAUGAACCACAACAACAAUUGACAGAGCGCCAUGGAUUGUGGCUUGGGGCCAAAACUAAGCCAUCCUGUCUUGCCAUCUUUUCAAUUACUGGUUUCCCCUCCUGCUGCCGAUUACUGGUUUUAGCCCCAAGCCAUCUUGUCUUGCCGUUUUUGGUGAGCUGGUGGCUUGGGGCUAAAACCACUGUUUAUGGUCGUUGAUGAUGGUCAUAUUAGCUAUGAGAUGUGAGGGAAAAAUUGUAACCUCAAAUGUGUGUCAUCAUGUUACUGUUGUGACCCUUCAUGUUAUUUCCGUGCUGAGAUUGUGAGAUUCUUAUAGGACCAUAAAGUUCAUUCUCUUUCAGUCUAUCGCAUGUGUUUUGUACCAAUAUCAUGAUUAUGCACCAAACAUAUUACGUUAGUGGUUCAUUCUAUUUGAUAUCGUCAACUUUAUUAUCACCUGCCAUAAGGACGAUCUGUAUGCACCAAACAUGAUCUUGAAAUGAUUUUUAUUCUAAGCAUUUUUGUCAUAGUCAAUAAGCUAGUUCCUGAAUCAAAUUUGUUAAUGAAAUGUUUCUGUAGCAUGCUAUAGUUAAUUAGUUGGCAAGUGUGAUGUCCAUUCGCUGGAUUCCGUCGCCUGAUUCCAGACGCCUCCUCUGUUUUUUGUAGGUCUGGCAGCACCGCCGCGUCGAUGACGAAGGUGUUGACCGCGGCGGCGAGCGGCGCGAGUUGGUGGCUGCGGGACUCGACGGCACGGCUCUCGUCAGCGGCGACAGAGGCGGUUGUUAGGAGCGCAUGAUAGACUACUAAAUGGACAAGUAUCUGCAACGUUCAGCGUCGAAGAUGGUGCAUACCAGAUGUUCUACUGUAGCCCCAUCCAUAUCAUCGACAUGAAGUUAGAUUUUGGCCUUCAUUCAUCAAAAGUUGGUGUACAAGGAACUCCAGGAGAAGAAUCUUUAAGUAAAUAAUUUAUAUAGAUCAGGAUCUUAUGUUGUCGAGGUGGCAGCUGUUGUGACCAAAGAUCAGCCUGGAGAUGUGCAUCAUAGUUUUAGUUGAUGUUACCACCAUGUUUUGGUGCCUGUCUAUUUGAUUGUAUAUACACUUGAUGGACCGUGUAGUCGUGUACGUGCUGUUUGAGUUUCAUUUAGUGAUUUCUGGAUUUGAUCAUUUAAUUGAGAAAAUUAUUUAUUGUUUGC